UAUAUUUUGGUGUAUGAUGCAUACAGAAUUUUGAUUUCUGUGGUCUCAGUUUGAUUCUUAGAAGUAUAA
rnacentral:tRNA from 1 species